rnacentral:rRNA from 1 species
GCUCAGAUUGAACGCUGGCGGCAGGCCUAACACAUGCAAGUCGAACGGUAACAUNUNNAGCUUGCUNNNNAGAUGACGAGUGGCGGACGGGUGAGUAAUGCUUGGGAACUUGCCUUUGCGAGGGGGAUAACAGUUGGAAACGACUGCUAAUACCGCAUAAUGUCUUCGGACCAAACGGGGCUUAGGCUCCGGCGCAAAGAGAGGCCCAAGUGAGAUUAGCUAGUUGGUAAGGUAACGGCUUACCAAGGCGACGAUCUCUAGCUGUUCUGAGAGGAAGAUCAGCCACACUGGGACUGAGACACGGCCCAGACUCCUACGGGAGGCAGCAGUGGGGAAUAUUGCACAAUGGGGGAAACCCUGAUGCAGCCAUGCCGCGUGUGUGAAGAAGGCCUUCGGGUUGUAAAGCACUUUCAGUUGUGAGGAAAAGUUAGUAGUUAAUACCUGCUAGCCGUGACGUUAACAACAGAAGAAGCACCGGCUAACUCCGUGCCAGCAGCCGCGGUAAUACGGAGGGUGCGAGCGUUAAUCGGAAUUACUGGGCGUAAAGCGCACGCAGGCGGUUUGUUAAGCUAGAUGUGAAAGCCCCGGGCUCAACCUGGGAUGGUCAUUUAGAACUGGCAGACUAGAGUCUUGGAGAGGGGAGUGGAAUUCCAGGUGUAGCGGUGAAAUGCGUAGAUAUCUGGAGGAACAUCAGUGGCGAAGGCGACUCCCUGGCCAAAGACUGACGCUCAUGUGCGAAAGUGUGGGUAGCGAACAGGAUUAGAUACCCUGGUAGUCCACACCGUAAACGCUGUCUACUAGCUGUGUGUGUCUUUAAGACGUGCGUAGCGAAGCUAACGCGCUAAGUAGACCGCC